rnacentral:lncRNA from 1 species
AGGGCUGCACCCAUGGCAUCAGAAAGUUCCCAGGCUAGGGGUUGAAUCAGAGCUGCAGCUGCCAGCCUACACCACAGCCACAGCCACAGCCACACGGGAUCCAAACCUCGACUGCGACCUGCACCACAGCUCACGGCUACACCAGAUCCUUAAUCCACUGAGUGAGGCUAGGGAUCGAACCUGCAUCAUUAUGGAUCCUAGUUGGAGAAAUGAGUCAAUCAUUUCCCAUUUGUGCCUCAGCCCGUUCAAAUCAGGCUUGUGUCCCCUGCGACUGAGAGACUGCACUUGUCCAGCACAUCCAGUUCAGACUCUGUGGGACAAUGGCGACCUUCCAGGUCACCGCCCCUUUUCUCCGGAAGAUCCCUGCUGGCCUACUUCACUCACUCCUCACUUAGACUAAGGACACUCAGAGGGGCUCGGGGGCUCAGGGGGAAGACGCCAACCAGGAGAGACGCCGGAGGGCGAGGGCUGCGGAGGGGUGGAGGUGUGCAACCUGAUCCCGCGGCGUAAGAGGCCCUGGCGUGAGGGAGACUCAAAGGGCUGCCGAGACCAUCCUGUCUGGCCCUUGCUGUGCCAGCAACGCGACUGAGGCCAGAGGGCAGGGACUGCCCAGGCCCAGCAGCUGGGCAGGGCUCUGUCCACUCAGGCAUCGUAAAGAGGCAAGUCGGAUGGAGCCCCACACCUCCGCCGGCUGCUCUCUGUGGAGGCAAGAUUGCGGCCUGAAACUGUAAGAAGACCACAGGCCUGGGGCUGGAGGGGGAGAGCCUCUGGGACCACCUGAUCCCACCUGUCCAUCCCUACCCCUCAGCCACCGUGCGAGAGUAGAAACUAAGGUCCAGAGAGGGGCUGGGAUCUGCCAGAAUUUGCAUGGCACGUGUGGUCCGGGGGGCAUCCACUCCCUAGGCCUGGGGGGAAGGGCAGGCUGGAGCGGGUGGGGGGUGAAGGUGAGGGGCCCCGAGGGCAGCCCAGGGCUGCUGUCUGAUCUCGGGUCUGUGUGGCUGCCCCUGGGUUGAGCGGAGGCCUGACCUUUCUAUAGCAAGUGCUCCUUGUUCCCUUGGAGAAGGGGAUGCUUCAAAAAAGCAGGCAGGCCAAAGACAAGCAAGACUUGCCCAAGGUCACCCAGCAAAUGGGAAGCUGGCUGAGACCCGAGUCCUGGGCCCCACAGCUGUGUUCGAGGGAACCCCAGCUUCCACUCUCCCUUCCAGCGUUCUCCUUCCUCUGCAUCUUCUCUCAACUGGUCCUUCUAGGACCCCAGAAGAGGGGUUGGGGGAGACUUUGUUUAACCUUUUCCCAGGGGGCAGGGUGCACUCUUAUAGAGGCAGCUGAAGUAGGGCCCUAAUGGAGGGUUCAUGGUCAUUGGCAGCCGGCACGCUAUCACCUUGGAGUAAGCGCACCCCCGCCCCUGCUUAGGGCCACAGCUAGAAUUUGUCCCUGGGAAGGCCAGGUACAUUCUCCAGCAACUGGCAGAAGCUUCCCCAACCACUCACCUGCCUGUCCAACCCCAGCCAAGUUCUAGAGAAGCCACCCUCCAACCCUGCAGCCUGCAGGGGGCUCCCUUCCAGAGCCAGAGCCAGAGCCAGAGCCGGAGCCCUUCUCUCCCAAGUGGAAGGGGCAGCACAGGAAGUCCCCAGGUGGAGAUGUUCGGUGAUGACCUAGUUUACUGAAGAGGCAGCAGAAGCACCUGGAGGUUUCACAGGCUCCCAGGGAUCCCCCAUCGGCAGGGGCCCGGUGUCCGAGUUGACUGGGCAUGUGGUUCCUCGGGCUGUGCCCAGGGGCUCUGCUGGCUGGCAGAGUCUAUGGUCUUCAGAAUUGAGUCAGGUCUGCCCCUAACUGUGCAACCCUGGGGCAUCAGGGCAUCAUAAUGUGAACCUACUGGGAUCUGGGCUGGGCCCUGGGGCAGAGGGAAAGCUCCGGAGUGCACUCAGCUCAGGAGGACAAAAGAGGGCAUACAUCCCAGCUCAGUGCGGGGCUGGGAAACGGUUCCAACAUCCCCCUGGGCGGCAGGCACGGGGGUGGCGGUAGGCAGUGGGGCAGUGAGAGUUUUCAGUUUCUCGAGUUAGAAAGACCAGACCAGAGGGUAGGGCCCAUCUGCAUGGGACUAGCUUGCUCUCCAGAAAAACAGGACCAUGUUUUAAUGAGCACAUCCAAGCACCUGCCAGGGCCCCUGUUUCCUCUGCCCCCUGACAGGACCGGGUUUUAUGACUCUCACUGAAUUUGCCUUAGUUUAUUAGGCAUGUAAGGGUCGCCUCUGGCUGUGUAAUUAACAUUUCUUUCCUUGCAAGGGAGAGCCUCUACUUUCCCAGCAACCGCCUGCUGCGCACGCACCUGGGGGGGUGGGCUGUCCCUCCACUGUGGACACGGGUCAAGCUGGUGCCAGGACCCAGCAUUGCCAUGGUGAGCAAGAGUGUGUGGCUACUGCCACCCCAUCGCCACCCCACGUGGUUCCCGUCCCAUGGCUACUCUGUGGUUCCUGUUCUGUGUCUGUUCCCUUGACAUUUAUGGCAGAAAAUGUCAUCGCACAAAUGUGUAUUGUUUUCAUCGGCCCUCCUUUGUCUUCUUGCUGACAACAUUCCCUGUUCCUUCAACACUCGGACUCCUUUCCCAGCGGAAGCGCUGGCUCCUUCUCCUCGGGACCGUCCCUGGCCUCUCCAGUCCCACCUGCACAAAGGGAGAUGGAAGAAGAGGACUCAGACGCCUCUCCAGGUCAGAUACUGGGUUCUACUAUUUUGUCAUUUUUAAGGUGAGGGACAGAGCCCCAGCCUCCUUCCCCACAGCUCCUCAAGAGCAGGUCAUCAGGCACUGGGUCCCUUAACCCCUUCUUACCUGUGCUCUGAACCCCUCGCUCUGCCUGGCAGAGCGACACCACUAAGGCUGAAGACCUCUGGAGCCGUCCCGUAGGGCAGGCCCCGUGCUCAGUGCUGGCGACACCAAGGAGGUGGAGUACUCCCGUUUCUCAGACAGCGAUGUGGAGAGCAGGGCCUGCGCUCUUUUUGUUUGUUUGUUUGUUUUUGCUUUUUGGGGCCACUCCCACAGCACAUGGAGGUUCCCAGGCUAGGGGUCGAAUCAGAGCUAUAGCUGCCGGCCUACACCACAGCCACAGCCAUGCCAGAUGCAAGCCGCGUCUGUGACCUACACCACAGCUCACAGCAACGCCGGAUCGUUAACCCACUGAGCGAGCCCUGGGAUGGAACCCGCAACCUCAGGGUUCCUU